CGGAGGAAAAGAAACCAACAGGGAUUGCCUCAGUAACGGCGAGUGAAGCGGCAAAAGCUCAAAUUUGAAAUCCCCCGGGAAUUGUAAUUUGAAGAGAUUUGGGUCCGGCCGGCAGGGGUUAAGUCCACUGGAAAGUGGCGCCACAGAGGGUGACAGCCCCGUGAGCCCCUUUAACGCCUUCAUCCCAGAUCUCCAAGAGUCGAGUUGUUUGGGAAUGCAGCUCUAAGUGGGUGGUAAAUUCCAUCUAAAGCUAAAUACCGGCGAGAGACCGAUAGCGAACAAGUACAGUGAUGGAAAGAUGAAAAGCACUUUGAAAAGAGAGUGAAAAAGUACGUGAAAUUGUUGAAAGGGGAGGGCUUGCAAGCAGACACUUAACUGGGCCAGCAUCGGGGCGGCGGGGAGCAAAACCACCGGGGAAUGUACCUUUCGAGGAUUAUAACCCCGGCCCUUACUCCCAUACUGCCCCGAGGCCUGCAAUCUAAGGAUGCUGGCGUAAUGGUUGCAAGUCGCCCGUCU
rnacentral:rRNA from 1 species